AUAUUAAAACUAUACAUGAACUUU
rnacentral:miRNA from 1 species